rnacentral:rRNA from 1 species
GACGAACGCUGGCGGCGUGCUUAACACAUGCAAGUCGAACGGAAAGGCCCUGCUUUUGUGGGGUGCUCGAGUGGCGAACGGGUGAGUAACACGUGAGUAACCUGCCCUUGACUUUGGGAUAACUUCAGGAAACUGGGGCUAAUACCGGAUAGGAUCUCCUGCUGCAUGGUGGGGGUUGGAAAGUUUCGGCGGUUGGGGAUGGACUCGCGGCUUAUCAGCUUGUUUGUGGGGUAGUGGCUUACCAAGGCUUUGACGGGUAGCCGGCCUGAGAGGGGUACCGGCCACAUUGGGACUGAGGUACGGCCCAGAAGCCUACGGGAGGCAGCAGUGGGGAAUAUUACACAAUGGGGGGAAGCCAGAUGCAGCAACGCCGCGUGCGGGAUGACGGGCUUCGGGGUGUAAACCGCUUUCGCCGGUGACGAAGCGGGAGUGACGGUAAUGGGUAAAGAAGCACCGGCUAACUACGUG